rnacentral:tRNA from 1 species
AGUCUUAUAUUCAAUUAUGAUUUUAGACUGCAAUUCUAAAGGUGUAGGACUCCUACUAAGACUU